rnacentral:rRNA from 1 species
ACGGGAGGCAGCAGUGAGGAAUAUUGGUCAAUGGACGAGAGUCUGAACUAGCCAAGUAGCGUGAGGGAUGACUGCCCUAUGGGUUGUAAACCUCUUUUGUUCGGGAAUAAAGUGCGGGACGCGUCCCGCUUUGCAUGUACCGUUCGAAUAAGCAUCGGCUAAUUCCGUGCCAGCAGCCGCGGUAAUACGGAAGAUGCGAGCGUUAUCCGGAUUUAUUGGGUUUAAAGGGAGCGUAGGCGGUCCUUUAAGUCAGCGGUCAAAUGUCAGUGCCCAACGCUGGCCUGCCGUUGAUACUGGAGGACUUGAAUACACACAAGGAAGGUGGAAUUCGUCGUGCAGCGGUGAAAUGCUUAGAUAUGACGAAGAACUCCGAUUGCGAAGGCAGCCUUCUGGAGUGCGAUUGACGCUGAGGCUCGAAAGCGCGGGUAUCAAACAGGAUUAGAUACCCUGGUA